rnacentral:tRNA from 1 species
AUUUUUUUGGGUAACCUUAAUAAUUUAAAUUUAGAUUUUCCAUAAAUUAUAAUUCAAAAAAAAAAA